rnacentral:rRNA from 1 species
AAGCGGUGGAGUAUGUGGUUUAAUUCGAUGCAACGCGAAGAACCUUACCUGGUCUUGACCAUCCCGGAGACCCUUGGAAACUAGGGGUGCUUCCAUCUGGAAGAAUCUGGAGACAGGUGCUGCAUGGCUGUCGUCAGCUCGUGUCGUGAGAUGCUGGGUUAAGUCCCGCAACGAGCGCAACCCUUGCCUUUAGUUGCCAGCAGUUCGGCUGGGCACUCUAAAGGGACUGCCGGUGUUAAACCGGAGGAAGGUGGGAAUGACGUCAAGUCCUCAUGGCCUUUAUGACCAGGGCUACACACGUACUACAAUGGCCGAUACAAAGGGCAGCGACACUGCGAGGUGAAGCCAAUCCCGUAAAAUCGGUCUCAGUCCGGAUUGGAGUCUGCAACUCGACUCCAUGAAGUUGGAAUCGCUAGUAAUCGUGGAUCAGCAUGCCACGGUGAAUACGUUCCCGGGCCUU